CCUACGGGCGGCUGCAGUGGGGAAUAUUGGACAAUGGGCGAAAGCCUGAUCCAGCCAUGCCGCGUGUGUGAAGAAGGCCUUCGGGUUGUAAAGCACUUUCAGUGGGGAAGAAAGCCUUGGGGCUAAUACCCUCGAGGAAGGACAUCACCCACAGAAGAAGCACCGGCUAACUCCGUGCCAGCAGCCGCGGUAAUACGGAGGGGGCGAGCGUUAAUCGGAAUUACUGGGCGUAAAGCGCGCGUAGGCGGUCUGAUAAGCCGGUUGUGAAAGCCCCGGGCUCAACCUGGGAACGGCAUCCGGAACUGUCAGGCUAGAGUGCAGGAGAGGAAGGUAGAAUUCCCGGUGUAGCGGUGAAAUGCGUAGAGAUCGGGAGGAAUACCAGUGGCGAAGGCGGCCUUCUGGACUGACACUGACGCUGAGGUGCGAAAGCGUGGGUAGCAAACAGGAUUAGAUACCCCUGUAGUC
rnacentral:rRNA from 1 species